rnacentral:rRNA from 1 species
GAAGUUUUCAGAGAUGAGAAUGUGCCUUCGGGAACCGUGAGACAGGUGCUGCAUGGCUGUCGUCAGCUCGUGUUGUGAAAUGUUGGGUUAAGUCCCGCAACGAGCGCAACCCUUAUCCUUUGUUGCCAGCGGUUAGGCCGGGAACUCAAAGGAGACUGCCAGUGAUAAACUGGAGGAAGGUGGGGAUGACGUCAAGUCAUCAUGGCCCUUACGACCAGGGCUACACACGUGCUACAAUGGCGCAUACAAAGAGAAGCGACCUCGCGAGAGCAAGCGGACCUCAUAAAGUGCGUCGUAGUCCGGAUUGGAGUCUGCAACUCGACUCCAUGAAGUCGGAAUCGCUAGUAAUCGUGGAUCAGAAUGCCACGGUGAAUACGUUCCCGGGCCUUGUACACACCGCCCGUCACACCAUGGGAGUGGGUUGCAAAAGAAGUAGGUAGCUUAACCUUCGGGAGGGCGCUUACCACUUUGUGAUUCAUGACUGGGGUGAAGUCGUAACAAGGUAACCGUAGGGGAACCUGCGGUUGGAUCACCUCCUUACCUUAAAGAAGC